AUUGAACGCUGGCGGCAGGCUUAACACAUGCAAGUCGAGCGAGCGGCGGACGGGUGAGUAAUGUCUGGGAAACUGCCUGAUGGAGGGGGAUAACUACUGGAAACGGUAGCUAAUACCGCAUACCAUCAGAUGUGCCCAGAUGGGCUUAGCUAGUAGGUGGGGUAAGCGCUCACCUAGGCGACGAUCCCUAGCUGGUCUGAGAGGAUGACCAGACACACGGGAACGGAGAGACGGUCCAGAAUCGUACGGGAGGCAGCAGUGGGGAAUAUUGCAGAAGGGGCGCAAGCAUGAUGCAGCAAUGCCGCGUGUGUGAAGAAGGCCUUCGGGUUGUAAAGCACUUUCAGCGGGGAGGCGUUACUCGCAGAAGAAGCACCGGCUAACUCCGUGCCAGCCGCCGCGGUAAUUC
rnacentral:rRNA from 1 species